CUUUCCUGUAUAUAUCUUUCAUCUACAGCAAAAUUUUCAAGUCUCAGCUACAAGACAUUGAAGAUGAGGCUUUUCACAACUUGACGCAACUUCGAAAAUUGAAUCUAGCCAUGAACCAGCUAGAUGAUUUCCCGGACUUGUCUACCAACACAGCUCUGCAAGAACUCGAUUUAUACCAAAACAAGAUUAGACUCUGGCGCCACAAUUACACGGAUCUACCCAAGAAUCUGGUUAAAAUAAUUCUUAUAGAAAACAAGUUGGACUGGAUUCCUGAUAGGUGGUUUGAUCUACCAAAUCUUAAAUACAUGUAAGGAAAAUGUACUUUAAAAAAGGGAAGUCUGUUUUUUGUUGUUGAUGUUUUCGUUUUCAGUUUUAUUUAAUAAAUAGAAAACUUUAUCGAGUAAUAGAAACAUAAGUGGAAUUUUAAGAGAACGAGAAAUGGUGUGGGAACACAAGCUUACAGGCGAGUGUUAACUGACCAAUCAGGGCACAUAUUUUCUUUGCGCUAUUUUCUAAAUAAUGAUAAUGUUAAACAAUAACAUCAACAUUUUUGUUGUUGUUUCGUUGUUGUUGUUGUUGUUGUUGUUGUUGUUGUUUUUGUUCUCGGGGAUCAUCUAAAUCAGGAAGUGCUGGACUAAAUCGGCUUACCGAAAAUGUCUCCUAGUGGUUGUCCUCUCCC